rnacentral:rRNA from 1 species
UACGUAGGGACCGAGCGUUGUCCGGAUUCAUUGGGCGUAAAGAGCUCGUAGGCGGCCACUCAAGUCGAAUGUGAAACCUCGAGGCUUAACCUCGAGCCUGCAUUCGAUACUGGGCGGCUAGAGUCUGGUAGGGGGAUCUGGAAUUCCUGGUGUAGCGGUGAAAUGCGUAGAUAUCGUAAGGAAGACCAGUGGCGAAGGCGGGUCUCUGGACAGUUCCUGACGCUGAGGCACGAAGGUCAGGGGAGCAAACGGG